UUUUUUACCACUGUUACCUUGUAAAACAGCCAUUGCUAGUAGAAAGACAUCAAAGCUAUGUAUUUAAAUUAGAAAAUCAAGUUACAUUAAAAAAAAACAAAAAUAAAAUAAGUCAGUGGGAGUAGUACUUUACUGGCUGAACUAGAACUUGAGUAAGACGAAUACCAUAUAUAGAGCUAUCAGAAUUUUAAUACAGAUACACUGCUUUGUUUGUGUAUUUUUCACAGAAGACCAAUGGAAAAGAGACUGUUCAGAAGCUGAUAUGGAUUUUUCUGACAGCAGAAUCUCAGAAUGGCUGAAGUUGGCAAAGACUUCUGGGUCCAACCCCAGCUCCAGCAGGGCCACCAGAGCACGGUGCCCAGGCCUAUGCACAUGUGGAUUAUGAAGAUCACCAAGGAGUCCACAGCCUCUGGGCAGCCUGUGCCAGUGUUCUGUCACCUGCAGAAAGAUGAAGAGUUCCAAUUUAUUAAUUGCAAGUCUUCCAUCAUUUACAGGACUUGAAGAGAUGAAGCCAUUUCUCCAUUCCCUGAAGGUUUUUCAGGUUGAAAAAAAAGAAGAUUUUGUUCCGCACAAAAAGUAAUCCUAAACCCUCUGAGUUCCCAUUCUCCUCACUAAUCCAAGGAAAAAUCCAUAUUAGAAAAAAAAAGAAACAACACCACCGCCAACAAAAAAACACACCACCACCAUCAUCAAACUACAAAGUAAUCACCUUCAGAAGAUAAGAAGAAGCUCAAAUUAACUGAUAUUAUUUAUUUAUGGAAUAUUUUCUUUCUCUGAGAGUUGCAAAGCAAGAAAUAAGUUUAAGGUUCUCUUUUCAUCCCCACAUGACAAAUUCCACUAGUUACUUCCAUAGGUACCUCCUUCUGUUUAUCUUUUCACAAGUAGUUACCCUACUGAUCACAAGUUAGAUAGGUCUAAACACAACUGUAACUUUAAUUUGACACUCUGAAAUAUCUCAAAUCCAUUCCUUUGAAGUUCUGUCCCUUUUACACCCAACUUCACAUUGUUGUUCAUUUUCACCAGCCCUGACGUUCUUCCUGGUCUUUUCCUUAGUUACCUAAACAAUGUCAUGUCAAUAACCUGGGAGAACUUUAUUCCAAAGCACAUAAUAGAAAGAAAAUGAACUAUGGAUCUCUGUGUUUCUUGCAGAUGCUUGAUUACUUCCACUGUAUUCAUGUUUUAGCUUUGUUUUCCCCUCUUAUUGUAAAAUAUUAUUCAAAAUAUUACAAAAAAUUGUCCCUGAAGUUUGCAUAUAGAUGUGCUUUCUCUUUGAAAUGGAUAUGAAGGGUAAAAUAACCAAGUUAUAGAAAAUAAAUGUGCAUAGAAAAGUUGAGAACAUCUCCAUAAUUGUAAAUUCCCAGAAAUGACCACAGUCUGCUCACUGCUGUACAUUCUACUUAUCUUAAUGAGGUGCCACCUUAUUCCUGCCAAAGAAUAUGAAAAAGGAUGUUGAAAUGUCAUCCCUCAUAAGCUCCAGGCAGUGAAACUGAAAUGGAGUAAGAGUCUUAGGAAAGCCAUUUUUUGGUGACUAUUAUUAGAUCUAUCUCCAUUUAAAUGACUUGUGUGUUGGAAAAUUGUUAUCACUACACUAAAUAUGUCAUGUUCUUUCCACAAACCACAAAAUAUAGUACCAUAUAAUGAAAUAGUUUAAAUCUACCUCAUUUAAUUGUUCCUGUUUUUAUUAUAUAAUUGUCGGUGUGUAGUCAAUGGAAUGCACUCACUAAAAAAAAGCAUAUUGUUUCACCUGAAAUUCUUUCCUUAUCAGCCUAAACUCUAGAUGGUAUUAUGACCCAUAUUCUAAAAGAUACUGUUGAAGACUAAAAUUUUUUUGUUUAAUUGGCUCUUUAUCCUUGAUA
ensembl:lncRNA